AACUAGAGGUCCCCUUUUUCCCUCCUUAACCCAGAAAAAGGGGCAGAACUAAAGAACCUAAUGAUGAUUGAUGGGUCAUUGGCCCUAUAAUUGCAAACCAAGGGAAGCCACCUUAUUGCAAAAUGCAUGGAACUUUGAAAUACAUGCAAACACUCAAAGAAAGAAAAAGAA